GUGCUUGCUUCGGCAGUACGUGUACUAAAAUUGGAACGAUACAGAGAAGAUUAGCAUGGCCUGUGCCGCAAGGAUGACACGUAAAAUUCGACCAAGAAGACUGAUGUCA